rnacentral:rRNA from 1 species
UACGAGGGGGGCAAGCGUUGUUCGGAAUUAUUGGGCGUAAAGGGUGCGUAGGCGGCGCGGUAUGUCUCUUGUGAAAUCUCCAGGCUCAACUUGGAGUCUGCAAGGGAAACUGCCGUGCUUGAGUACUGGAGAGGUGAGUGGAAUUCCCGGUGUAGCGGUGAAAUGCGUAGAUAUCGGGGAGGAACACCUGUGGCGAAAGCGGCUCACUGGACAGUAACUGACGACUGAU